rnacentral:rRNA from 1 species
GAAUUGUUCACAAUGGGCGCAAGCCUGAUGACGCAACGCCGCGUGGAGGAUGAAGGUCUUCGGAUUGUAAACUCCUGUUGCCCGGGACGAAAAGCUUCGACCUCAUACGCUGAAGUCUGACGGUACCGGGCGAGGAAGCCCCGGCUAACACUGUGCCAGCCGCCGCGGUAAUACAGGGGGGGCAAGCGUUGUUCGGAAUUACUGGGCGUAAAGGGCGCGUAGGCGGCCUGCUAAGUCGAACGUGAAAUCCCCGGGCUCAACCCGGGAACUGCGUCCGAUACUGGUUGGCUUGAAUUCGGGAGAGGGAUGCGGAAUUCCAGGCGUAGCGGUGAAAUGCGUAGAUAUCUGGAGGAACACCGGUGGCGAAGGCGGCAUCCUGGACCGAUAUUGACGCUGAUGCGCGAAAGCCAGGGGAGCAAACGGG